UACGAAGGGGACUAGCGUUGUUCGGAAUUACUGGGCGUAAAGCGCACGUAGGCGGAUUUGUGAGUCAGGGGUGAAAUCCCGGGGCUCAACCUCGGAACUGCCUUUGAUACUGCAGAUCUCGAGUCCGAUAGAGGUGGGUGGAAUUCCUAGUGUAGAGGUGAAAUUCGUAGAUAUUAGGAAGAACACCGGUGGCGAAGGCGGCCCACUGGAUCGGUACUGACGCUGAGGUGCGAAAGCGUGGGGAGCAAACAGGAUUAGAUACCCCCGGUAGU
rnacentral:rRNA from 1 species